rnacentral:Y_RNA from 1 species
GACUGGUCCGAUUGUAGUGGGUACAAACGAUUGAUAAUGUUCACAGUCAGUUACGUAGAAGUCCAUAUUUGUGACCCCAACCUGCUCUCGCUACACAAUUUGACUAGUCUUUU